rnacentral:rRNA from 1 species
UCUGUAGCCGGCCAGGUAAGUCCCUUGGGAAAUCUGGCAGCUCAACUGUCAGGCUGCUAGGGGAUACUGUUUGGCUUGGGACCGGGAGAGGUGAGAGGUACCUUGGGGGUAGGGGUGAAAUCUUGUGAUCCUCGGGGGACCACCAGUGGCGAAGGCGUCUCACCAGAACGGGUCCGACGGUAAGGGACGAAAGCUAGGGGCACGAACAGGAUUAGAUACCCUGGUAGUCC